AGCUCCAAUAGCGUAUAUUAAAGUUGUUGUGGUUAAAAAGCUCGUAGUUGGAUCUCAACAGACCUGGAUCGGUUUACUUUGUGUAAUACUGAUCCAGAGCUGUGCUUUUGAUGGAGGUUUAGGGGUGCUCUUAACCGAGUGUCUCUGAGUGCCAUCAGGUUUACUUUGAAAAAAUUAGAGUGCUCAAAGCAGGCUGUUACGCCUGAAUAUUCGUGCAUGGAAUAAUAGAAUAGGAUGUCGAUCCUAUUUUGUUGGUUUUCGGGACUCGACAUAAUGAUUAAUAGGGACAGUCGGGGGCAUUUGUAUUCAAACGACAGAGGUGAAAUUCUUGGACCGUUUGAAGACAAACUACUGCGAAAGCAUUUGCCAAGAAUGUUUUCAUUAAUCAAGAACGAAAGUA
rnacentral:rRNA from 1 species